rnacentral:lncRNA from 10 species
GAACAACAGACCCUAGGGCCUACCUGAUGGUGCAGAGGUCCUUCACAUCCCUUGUUGGCUGUGUUCCUAGGUAUUUUAUUCUCUUUGAAGAGAUUGUGAAUGGGAGUUCAUCCAUGAUUUGGCUCUCUGCUUGCCUUUGGUUAGUGUUUGCAGUGGCUGGUACGAGUUUUUCCUUUCCAUUUUUAGUGCUUCUUUUAGGAGCUCUUGCAGGGCAGGCCUGGUGGUAAUGAAAUCCCUCAGCAUUUGCUUGUCUGGAAAGGAUUUCAUUUCUCCUUUGCUUAUAAAGCUUAGUUUGGCUGGAUAUGAAAUUGAGGGUUGAAAAUUCUUUUCUUGAAGAAUGUUGAAUAUUGGCUCCCAAUCUCCAGCUUGUUUCCCUACUCCCCAUCUCCUUCAGGUAUUCCAAUCAAUAGUCGUUUGAUCUUUUUAUGUAGUCCCAUGUUUCUUGGAGGCUUUGUUCAUUCCUUUUUAUUAUUUUUUCUCUAAUCUUGUCUGCAUGCCUUAUUUCAGCAAGGUGGUCUUCCAACUCUGAUAUUCUUUCUUCCACUUGGUUGAUUUGGCUAUUCAUACUUGGGUAUGCUUGUGUAUGUUUCAUGAAGUUCUUAUGCUGUGUUUUUCAGCUCCAUCAGGUCAUUUAUGUUACUCUCUAAACUGGUUUCUCUAGUUAGGGGAGUGAUUGAAUGAUAUUUGAAAUCCAUUCCAACUUUAAUAACAUUUGGGGAUGAAAAAUUUCACCAGUCAAAGCUUGUAGAGAGUUUCUAUGCAGAAGCAUGCCAUUAAUAAUCACUACCAUGUAAAAAUUACUGCUACUUUCUUAUUGCAAAUUAAGUUUGUUA